GUAAGUUAGCUAUAUAUAGUGUGUAACCUGAAAAUGCCUCCCCUUGCACCACUUGCACUGUUGAACUUAUAGGUGUAACCAGAGACCAGUGUCAACAAGGAAUCUGGCUUGGAACGCUUUUGUCUGCAGCCCUCUUUGGAGCGUGACUUGCUCUUUCAGAGGUCUGUAUUUCUCUACCUGGACUACCCUGAGAGCUAACCCCAGUUAUUGGUCUGGAAGCAACGAAUGAAGGCCGGGGCAGAGCUUGAGGAGGGCAACAUCAUUUUGUCACAGUCGCCAUCAAGAAUCUAGUUGCAGACUGGGCGCUGUGGCUCACGCCUGUAAUCCCUGCACUUUGGGAGCCAAGUUGCUAUGUCAUGAACUGCUCUAUGAAGAAGCCUGUUUGUCAAGGAUCUGAAGCCUCCUGCCAAUAGCUGCAUGAACGAGUUUGGAAGAUCCAGUUCUACCCUUCAGAUGACUGUAGCUUGACGUCAACCUCAUGAGAGACCCUGAGACAGAACCACAAAGCGAAGUCCCUCCUGGAUCCCUGAUGCUACACAACUAUGUAAUAAAUGUUUGCUGUUUUAACU
rnacentral:lncRNA from 10 species